CGGACGGGUGAGUAAUGUCUGGGAAACUGCCUGAUGGAGGGGGAUAACUACUGGAAACGGUAGCUAAUACCGCAUAACGUCGCAAGACCAAAGAGGGGGACCUUCGGGCCUCUUGCCAUCAGAUGUGCCCAGAUGGGAUUAGCUAGUAGGUGGGGUAACGGCUCACCUAGGUGACGAUCCCUAGCUGGUCUGAGAGGAUGACCAGCCACACUGGGACUGAGACACGGUCCAGACUCCUACGGGAGGCAGCAUG
rnacentral:rRNA from 1 species